GUGAGGUUAUUUUCCUGACACCACACUCCGAGGCCCCUCACCUCCUCCCUGUAGGCUGUCCCGUCGUUGUUGGUAACCAAGCCUAUCACUCUAGUGUCGUCUGCAAACUUGAUGAUUGAGUUGGAGGCAUGCAUGCAUAAGCAGUCAUGGGUGAACAGGGAGUACAGGAGAGGGCUGAGAACGCACCCUUGUGGGGUCCAAGUGUUGAGGAUCUGCGGAGUGGAUAUGUUGUUUCCUACCUUCACCACCUGGGGGGCGGCCCGUCAGAAAUUCCAGGACCCAGUUGCACAGGGCGGGGUCGAGACCCGGAGUCUCUAGCUUAAUGAUGAGUUUGGAGUGUACUAUAGAGUUGAAUGCUGAGGUGUAGUCAAUGAACAGCAUUCUUGCAUAGGUAUUCCUCUUGUCCAAAUGGGAUAGGGCAGUAUGCAGUGUGAUGGCAUCGUCUGUGGACCUAUUGGGGCGGUAAGCAAAUUGGAGAGGGUCUAGGGUGUCAGGUAGGGUGGAUGUGAUAUGAUCCUUGACUAGUCUCUCAAAGCACUUCAUGACGACGGGGCGAUAGUCAUUUAGUUCAGUUAGCUUUCUUGGGAAAAGGAAAAAUGGUGGCCAUCUUGAAGCAUGUGGGGACAACAGACUGGGAUAGGGAUUGAUUGAAUAUGUCUGUAAACACACCAGCCAGUUGGUCUGCGCAUGCUCUGAGGAGACGGCUAGGGAUGAGCCGGCAGCCUUGCGAGGGUUAACACGUGUAAAUGUUUUACUCACAUUGGCCACGGAGAAGGAGAGCCCACAGGCUUUGGUAGCGGGCCGUGUCAGUUGCACUGUAUUGUCCUCAAAGUGAGGAAAGAGAUUGUUUAAUUUGUCUGGGAGCAAGGCGUCGAUAUUCGCAACACGGCUGGUUUUCUUUUUGUAAUCCGUGAUUGUGAUUGUCUGUAGACCCUGCCACAUAAGAUAUAAUGAACUGUCUGUUCACUCAUGCUUGGUCUCUCAUACUAGGAGAACCUGAUACACAGAGGAAGGAACAAAUACUAUUAUCUGGAUUAAUAGUGAUUGUAUCACUGUGGUGGACUUUUGGUAGUGGCACCAGACUUGAUGUUGGAAGUAACAGUGCCCCCACCCUCACUGUCCUGACCCCCUCUAGUGAGGAGCUGUCCAGUACAACAACAGCCACACUGACGUGUCUGGCCAACAAGGGCUUCCCCUCAGACUGGACCAUGAGCUGGAAAGUGGACGGGACCAACAAGAACCAGGAGACCAGUUCUAGGGUCCUGGAGAAGGAUGGUCUGUACAGCUGGAGCAGCACCCUGACUCUCACUGCCCAGGAGUGGACCAAGGCAGGAGAGGUGACCUGUGAAGCCCAGCAGAAAUCCCAGACUCCAGUCACCAAGACCCUGAGGAGGGCUGACUGUUCUGGGUAGGACCCCUCAGUCACACCCCUGAAGAGAGAGGCUGCUGAUUCCUCUGCUUUGACUCUGUUCUGAGAUCAGCAGAUUUCUCUGCCUUAUUGAUCACUGACAUGUAGACUAACAGAGGGCUUUGCUUGAGUUCAUGUGUCAAACCUCUCUGUAGACUGAGGUUGAAUCAGUGUUAGAUUUGAUCUGUUUUAUUACUACUAGAUACUGUAGGAAUGUUUGCUUUGAUGCUUUAAUGAAUAGAUGAAAAUAAAGAUUUUCCUUUGGAACACA